AUUGGGACUGAGAUACGGCCCAGACUCCUACGGGAGGCAGCAGUGGGGAAUAUUGCACAAUGGGCGCAAGCCUGAUGCAGCGACGCCGCGUGCGGGAUGACGGCCUUCGGGUUGUAAACCGCUUUUGACUGGGAGCAAGCCCUUCGGGGUGAGUGUACCUUUCGAAUAAGCACCGGCUAACUACGUGCCAGCAGCCGCGGUAAUACGUAGGGUGCAAGCGUUAUCCGGAAUUAUUGGGCGUAAAGGGCUCGUAGGCGGUUCGUCGCGUCCGGUGUGAAAGUCCAUCGCUUAACGGUGGAUCCGCGCCGGGUACGGGCGGGCUUGAGUGCGGUAGGGGAGACUGGAAUUCCCGGUGUAACGGUGGAAUGUGUAGAUAUCGGGAAGAACACCAAUGGCGAAGGCAGGUCUCUGGGCCGUCACUGACGCUGAGGAGCGAAAGCGUGGGGAGCGAACAGGAUUAGAUACCCUGGUAGUCCACGCCGUAAACGGUGGAUGCUGGAUGUGGGGACCAUUCCACGGUCUCCGUGUCGGAGCCAACGCGUUAAGCAUCCCGCCUGGGGAGUACGGCCGCAAGGCUAAAACUCAAAGAAAUUGACGGGGGCCCGCACAAGCGGCGGAGCAUGCGGAUUAAUUCGAUGCAACGCGAAGAACCUUACCUGGGCUUGACAUGUUCCCGACAGCCCCAGAGAUGGGGCCUCCCUUCGGGGCGGGUUCACAGGUGGUGCAUGGUCGUCGUCAGCUCGUGUCGUGAGAUGUUGGGUUAAGUCCCGCAACGAGCGCAACCCUCGCCCUGUGUUGCCAGCACGUCGUGGUGGGAACUCACGGGGGACCGCCGGGGUCAACUCGGAGGAAGGUGGGGAUGACGUCAGAUCAUCAUGCCCCUUACGUCCAGGGCUUCACGCAUGCUACAAUGGCCGGUACAACGGGAUGCGACACCGCGAGGUGGAGCGGAUCCCUUAAAACCGGUCUCAGUUCGGAUUGGAGUCUGCAACCCGACUCCAUGAAGGCGGAGUCGCUAGUAAUCGCGGAUCAGCAACGCCGCGGUGAAUGCGUUCCCGGGCCUUGUACACACCGCCCGUCAAGUCAUGAAAGUGGGUAGCACCCGAAGCCGGUGGCCCAACCUUUUGGGGGGAGCCGUCUAAGGUGAGACUCGUGAUUGGGACUAAGUCGUAACAAGGUAGCCGUACCGGAAGGUGCGGCUG
rnacentral:rRNA from 1 species